rnacentral:rRNA from 1 species
GAUGAACGCUGGCGGCGUGCCUAAUACAUGCAAGUCGAGCGAACGGACGAGAAGCUUGCUUCUCUGAUGUUAGCGGCGGACGGGUGAGUAACACGUGGAUAACCUACCUAUAAGACUGGGAUAACUUCGGGAAACCGUAGCUAAUACCGGAUAAUAUUUUGAACCGCAUGGUUCAAAAGUGAAAGAUGGUCUUGCUGUCACUUAUAGAUGGAUCCGCGCUGCAUUAGCUAGUUGGUAAGGUAACGGCUUACCAAGGCAACGAUGCAUAGCCGACCUGAGAGGGUGAUCGGCCACACUGGAACUGAGACACGGUCCAGACUCCUACGGGAGGCAGCAGUAGGGAAUCUUCCGCAAUGGGCGAAAGCCUGACGGAGCAACGCCGCGUGAGUGAUGAAGGUCUUCGGAUCGUAAAACUCUGUUAUUAGGGAAGAACAUAUGUGUAAGUAACUGUGCACAUCUUGACGGUACCUAAUCAGAAAGCCACGGCUAACUACGUG